ensembl:lncRNA
CUCUUUUCCCAAACAUCCUGUAGUGACCACCCCAUAUUCUUCUCUCCCACUGUUUUCUUCUCGUGUUUCUCUUUUCUGGGCUGUUGCACAACUGUGUUGUUUUCAUCUUGGUGGUUCUGUCACAGACACAGACAGGUAUUUGACAAGCUUUCAUACUGAUCUGUUUGAUUACUUGCUUGCUUUUUGAUCACAAAAUGCACAUGAAUUACACAAUUGUCACAGUUACGGUUUGCUGAAAUGUAGAAUGGCUUGGAAUUGACUGGAAGACAGAAAAAGAAAAGGUGUUGAGAUUGGAUACAGUAUGCAGUCUUGAGGUUCGAAGGUUUUAAGCAUUACAAUACUUCAGUGCUUACGCAGCAUUAAUGACAGACAGAUACAGUGUUCUAGUUUUCUCACAUUUACUACAGUGAAUGUUUAUCAGAGUUUACAUAGUUUACAGAGUUUACAUUUUAAUUUACAUAGUCACUUUCUGCAUAGGCAUAUGCAUCCCCCCACACAUCGCUUUAACACACUUAUACAGGGAAAAUAAAGGUACGGUUUCUUAUUUGUAGAAAAUAAAAAGUAAGAAAAACAAGCAUUUGUUUGUGUAUUUGUACUUUUGAAUCAAAACCUUAUAGAGAUCAGAGAAAUAGACCUUCUGACAACUUCUGCAUGUAAUAAAAUGGCCAAUUUUCACUAGGUUUCUCUGCCUAACAGUAUUAGUCCAUUGGAGUUUCCCUCCUGUUAUUAAGAUUACAUAGGCAUUUUUACUGAUAUUGCAUAUUGAUUAUUAUUGAUUUUAUGUUUGCCCAUAUUUCAUAUUUCUGGUGUAAGGUUGUGCUGGAGAUGAUGGGUUUAGGUCUAUUCAUGUUUGGAAUUCCUAUGAAUACGUAAUCAUAUGCACCCACCUCAGCAGAGCAGUUCAGCCCACUCUGGCUUGGGAUCUUGUUCUUUAUCUGUGGCCUUCUUUAUAUAUUGUCUGAACACAACCCCUCUAAAAAGAGAUCACAGCCAGCCUCGCUCUGAGUAUCAUCUCAAUCACUGGAGUGCUGUCUGCUUUGGUGGAAUUCUCCAGAGCAAUUGUUGGAAUCUAUCACAUAUAUAG